UAAGGGCGCACGGUGGAUGCCUUGGCACUAGAAGCCGAUGAAGGACGUUACUAACGACGAUAUGCUUUGGGGAGCUGUAAGUAAGCUUUGAUCCAGAGAUUUCCGAAUGGGGAAACCCAGCAUGAGUUAUGUCAUGUUAUCGAUAUGUGAAUACAUAGCAUAUCAGAAGGCACACCCGGAGAACUGAAACAUCUUAGUACCCGGAGGAAGAGAAAGAAAAUUCGAUUCCCUUAGUAGCGGCGAGCGAAACGGGAAGAGCCCAAACCAACAAGCUUGCUUGUUGGGGUUGUAGGACACUCUAUACGGAGUUACAAAGGACGACAUUAGACGAAUCAUCUGGAAAGAUGAAUCAAAGAAGGU
rnacentral:rRNA from 1 species